UUACUCUGGUUUCCCUUCAAUUCACGUUUAAAUCUUUCGCCUUUUACUAAAGAUUUCCGUGGAGGGGAGCAUAUGAUGAGUCUUAGAGAAUAAUUUUUUCUUGUACCCGACGAAAGUUGGGUC
rnacentral:snRNA from 1 species